rnacentral:rRNA from 1 species
UACGGAGGGUGCAAACGUUGCUCGGAAUCAUUGGGCGUAAAGCGCACGUAGGCGGCGCGUUAAGUCGGGUGUGAAAGCCCUGGGCUCAACCCAGGAAGUGCAUUCGAAACUGGCGCGCUUGAAUAUGGAAGAGGGUCGCGGAAUUCCCGGUGUAGAGGUGAAAUGCGCAGAUAUCAGGAAGAACACCCGUGGCGAAGGCGGCUCUCUGGGACGGUACUGACGCUGAGACGCGAAAGCGUGGGGAGCGAACGGG